rnacentral:rRNA from 1 species
GGGAUCCGAUUUAGCCAUGCUAGUCGUACGAGUUCAGACUCGUGGCGAAUAGCUCAGUAACACGUGGCCUAACUACCCUUCGGACCGCAAUACCCUCGGGAAACUGAGGCUAAUAGCGGACACCACACGCAGACUGGAAUGUCGCGUGUGUCAAACGCUCCGGCGCCGAAGGAUGUGGCUGCGGCCGAUUAGGUAGACGGUGGGGUAACGGCCCACCGUGCCAAUAAUCGGUACGGGUCAUGAGAGUGAGAACCCGGAGACGGAAUCUGAGACAAGAUUCCGGGCCCUACGGGGCGCAGCAGGCGCGAAACCUUUACACUGCACGCCAGUGCGAUAAGGGGAUCCCAAGUGCGUAGGCAUAGAGCCUACGCUUUUGUCCACCCU